UAGAAUCUGACCAUUGAUUUGUUGUUAGAUGUUAACAUUUUUAUGUUAAACAUGUUAUAAAUAGUUUAUAGUGAUUAUCUGGAUUGCUAGAUGUUAGAUCCAUAACAUCUAGAGGCUCAGAUUUGAAGAUUUAAAAAAUCUGGAAAUUUUGUUUUUGAUGUCUGACAACCAAAUGUCAGGCCUUGUGUAUCUAUUUCUAUGUUUGGUUUUUGUGUUUUGAAGGUUGAUACCUGUAGUAUGUCACAUGAUCUGUAUUCUGGAACUAUUAGCUAGCUCAGAUCAUACACAGAAUCAAAGUUAUGGGCGGUCAAACCUCAUUGACCGACCAUGACUUUCAAUUUUUGGAAAACCCAGAUCGUUCCCAGCUCUGACAAGUUCUUUGUGGGCUCAGAUCUGACUAUGUUAUG
rnacentral:lncRNA from 1 species